UUGUUGUCAGCACAUUCAACUAUGUAAAGAAAAAAGUAUUUAAUAAGAAUAUUUCAUUCAUUCAGAUCUAGGAUGUGUUAUUUUAGUGUUCCCUUUAUUUUUUUGAGCAGUGUAUUUUAUUACUUUACUGUUGAAUCAUGUAGGCUAUCGUAACGUUAAAUCAAUGAGCCUCCACACAGUCAAUCAGUGUGGGAACGUGAUCAUUGCACCCAAGAUUGAGCUACAACUGGCUAGGCAGUUGGUAGCCUAAAUCCUGCCUGAUGUUACUGCUGUUCCUAAAACCAUUGACAUAUGUUAGCCUACUGUAACCACACAGAGAGAGAGUGUGUGUGUUAAGGUUGGGCGAUUGUGUACAAGCCUAUUGCGCCCCAUAGCGAUCCUCGAUAGUCGAUCACUAUUGGGGAGUGUCUUUCUCAUGACUACUGUCACACCCUGACCAUAGUUUGCUUUGUAUGUUUGUAUGUUUUGUUUGGUCAGGGUGUGAUCUGAGUGAGCAUUCUAUGUUACAUGUAUAGUUUGUCUAUUUCUAUGUUUGGCCUGAUAUGGUUCUCAAUCAGAGGCAGGUGUUAGUCAUUGUCUCUGAUUGGGAACCAUAUUUAGGUAGUCUGUUUGGUGUUGGGUUUUUGUGGGUGAUUGUUCCUGUCUCUGUGUUUGCACCAGAUAGGGCUGUUUUAUUAACUGAAUGAUAUAUUUUUUUUUACAUUGUUUGCAAUCUGGUAUGUGACCCGUAUUAAUGCCAAAAUAACAUGCAUAAGAGGCAAGCCCAGAAAAAAAUACAUUAUUUUGCAAAUAUUGUGGGGCUCAAAACAGCCCCAACUGCACAGGUACUGUAUAACCAUUUGUAUAAAAUCAAAUCAAAUUUUAUUGUUCACAUACACAUGGUUAGCUGAUGUUAAUGCGAGUGUAGCAAAAUGCUUGUGUUUCUAGUUCCAGCCGUGCAGUAAUAUCUAACAAGUAAUCUAACAAUUUCACAACUACCUUAUACACACAAGUGUAAAUGAAUGAAUAAGAAUAUGUACAUAUAAAUAUAUGGAUGAGCGAUGGCAGUGCGGCAUAGGCAAGAUGCAGUAGAUGGAACCGGGUACAGUAUAUACGUAUUAGAUGAGUAAUGUAGGGUAUGUAAACAUUAUAUAAAGUGGCAUUGUUUAAAGUGACUAGUGAUACAUUUAUUGCAUCCCAUUUUUUAUUAUUAAAGUGGCUAGAGAUUUGAGUCAGUAUGUUGGCAGCAGCCACUCAAUGUUAGUGAUGGAUGUUUAACAGUCUGAUGGCCUUGGGAUAGAAGCUGUUUUUCAGUCACUCGGUCCCAGCUUUGAUGACCUGUACUGACCUCGCCUUCUGGAUGAUAGCGGGGUGAACAGACAGUGGCUCGGGUGGUUGUUGUCCUUGAUGAUCUCGCCUACUUCAAUCAAUCACCUUCUCCACUACUGUCCCGUCGAUAUGGAUAGGGGGGUGCUCCUUCUGCUGUUUCCUGAAGUCCACGAUCAUCUCCUUUGUUUUGUUGAUGUUGAGUGUGAGGUUAUUUUCCUGACACCACACUCCGAGGGCCCUCACCUCCUCCCCGUAGGCCGUCUCAUCGUUGUUGGUAAUCAAGCCUAUGACUGUAAUGUCGUCUGCAACUUAAUGAUUGAAGUAGGCAUGCAUGGCCACGCAGUCAUGGGUGAACAGAGAGUACAGGAGAGGGCUGAGAACACACCCUUGUGGGGCCCCAGUUUUGAGUAUCAGUGGGGUGGACAUGAUGUUUCCUACCCUCACCACCUGGGGGCGGCCCGUCGGAAAGUCCAGGACCCAGUUGCACAGGGUGAGGUCGAGACCUUAAUCGAGCUCAAUGACGAGUUUGGAGGGUACUAUAGUGUUAAAUGCUGAGCUGUAAUCGAUGAACAGCAAUCUUACAAAGGUAUUCCUCUUGUCCAGAUGGGUUAGGGCAGUGUGCAGUGUGAUUGCGUCGUCCGUGGACCUAUUGGAGCGGUAAGCAAAUUGGAGUGGGUCUAGGGUGUCAGGUAGGGUGGAGGUGAUAUGAUCUUUGACUCGUCUCUCAAAGCACUUCCUGAUGACGGAAGUGAGUGCUACGGGGCGAUAGUCGUUUAGCUCAGUUACCUUAGCUUUCUUGGGAACAGGAAUAAUGGUGGCCCUCUUGAAGCAUGUGAGAACAGCAGACUGGGAUAGGGAUUGAUUGAAUGUUUGUAAACACACCAGCCAGCUGGUCUGCGCAUGCUCUGAGGACAUGGCUAGAGAUGCCGUCUGGGCAAGCAGCCUUGCGAGGGUUAACAUGUUUAACUGUUUCACUCAUGUUGGUUGCGUUGAAGGAGAGACCCCAGAUUUUGGUAGCGGGCCGUGUCAGCGGCACUGUACUGUCCUCAAAGCGAGCAAAGAAGUUGUUUAGUUUGUCUGGGAGCAAGACGUAGGUGUCCGCGGCGGGGCUGGUUUUCUUUUUGUAAUCCGUGAUUGACUGUAGACCCUGCCACAUACGUCUCGUGUUUGAGCCAUUGAAUUGAGACUUUACUUUGUCUCUAUACUGAGGCUUAGCUUGUUUGAUUGCCUUGCAGAGGGAAUAGCAACACUGUUUGUAUUCGGUCAUGUUUCCGGUCACCUUGCCAUGAUUAAAAGCAGUGGUUCGCACUUUAAGUUUUGCACGAAUGCUGCCAUCAAUCCCCGGUUUGUGCUUGGGGAAGGUUUUAAUAAUCACCGUGGGUACAACAUCACUGAUGCACUUGCUAAUAUAUUUGUUCACCGAAUCAGCGUAUACAUCAAUGUUGUUGUCUGAGGCUAUCCGGAACAUCUCCCAGUCCACGUGAUCAAAGCAAUCUUGAAGCAUGGAAUUCAGAUUGGUCGGACCAGUGUUGAACAGACCUGGGCACGGGCGUUUCCUAUUUUAGUUUCUGUCUAUAGGCUGGGAGCAACAAAAUGGAGUCAUGGUCAGAUUUGCCGAAGGAGGGCUUUGUAUUCGUCGCGGAAGUUAGAGUAGCAAUGAUCCAGAAUGCUGCCAGCCCGGGUCGCGCUUUCGAUAUGCUGAUAAAAUUUAGGGAGCUUUGAUUUCAGAUUAGCUUUGUUAAAAUCCCCAGCUGCAAUACAUGCAGCCUCGGGAUAUGUGGUUUCCAGUUUACAUUGAGUCCAAUUAAGUUAUUUCAGGAGCCUUCUAUCUGGAAGGCAACCCUUGCUUGAAUUUCAUCUACCUUGUUGUCAAGAGACUGGACAUUGGCGAGUAGUAUACUCGGGAGCGGUGAGCGAUGUGCCCGUCUACGGAGCCUGACCAGAAGACCUCUCUGUCUGGCCCUUCUGCGGCACCAUUGUUUUAGGUCGCCUACUGGGAUCCAAUCCAUUGUCCUGGGUGGUGGUCCAAACAGAGGAUCCACUUCGGGAAAGUCGUAUUCCUGGUCGUAAUGUUGCAUUCCCAUAAGAGGCACCCCCUGCAGGAGAUGAAGCAAGCGCACGUGUGUUCCACAACAGUCCAGUCUGAACAGCCAGGUCCAUGGACAUGCACUUACAGCCUUCCCUCAUCCCAACUCUUUGUGGCUGACUCCCAGCAUGCCUAGAGGGGUGAAGGAGAGGAUCAGCCCGCACCCAUUCCCAAAAUGAGUGCCACUCACACAGUAUCGCUUCUGGCUGUUGUCUGGCGUAGCCUGCAUAUAUUUCUGCUCCGUGAGCUCUGUGAAGCCUAAAUCUGUUCAUGUGGUAACUCAUAGUAUACUCUCCCUUGUCCUCUCUAUGGCAUUGUUUUUGUUUUGGUUUGAAGGUAGAGUGAGGGGAGGAUCUUAAGCAUUAGACAGAUUGGUGUUGCAGGAGAUCCGUUGAUCAUGCAUUAGGGGAAGUUUUCUGUUAGGCUAAAGAGGAAUGCAUGAGGAGGAUAAGAGGGUGUUGUCCUGUUGUCAUUGUUGGAAGAACUGACAUUAUUGCUCCCAUCAACCUCACAUCCCACCAUGAUGCUGUACAUUUGUUAUUCUUGGUGUCCCAGAUCCUUUGAUGUCACACCAAGCCUUGUGUUUUAUUAAUGGUCAAUUAAGAGUGUAAUGGGGGAUGUUGACUUAAAACUUUUAGUAAAUGUUACAUGUUUUUGAUAGAAGGUACUUUUAUCAUCAUGCU